rnacentral:rRNA from 1 species
AGAUUGAACGCUGGCGGCAUGCCUUACACAUGCAAGUCGAACGGCAGCACGGGAGCAAUCCUGGUGGCGAGUGGCGAACGGGUGAGUAAUACAUCGGAACGUGCCCAAUCGUGGGGGAUAACGCAGCGAAAGCUGUGCUAAUACCGCAUAAGAUCUACGGAUGAAAGCAGGGGAUCGCAAGACCUUGCGCGAAUGGAGCGGCCGAUGGCAGAUUAGGUAGUUGGUGAGGUAAAGGCUCACCAAGCCUUCGAUCUGUAGCUGGUCUGAGAGGACGACCAGCCACACUGGGACUGAGACACGGCCCAGACUCCUACGGGAGGCAGCAGUGGGGAAUUUUGGACAAGUGGGACGAAAGCCUGAUCCAGCCAUGCCGCGUGCAGGAUGAAGGCCGUUCGGUUAGUUAAACUGUCUUUUGUACGGAACGAAAGUACUCUUUACUAAUAAAGAGGAUCAUGACGUACGUAAGAAUAAGACACGACUAACUACGUGACCG